GCCUGGGUGGCUCAGUCAGUUGAGUGUCCGACUUCAGCUCAGGUCACGAUCUCACUCUCCGUGGGUUCGAGCCCCGCGUCGGGCU
rfam:Felis catus isolate Cinnamon breed Abyssinian chromosome F2, whole genome shotgun sequence.